UCGAGCGGCGGACGGGUGAGUAAUGCCUAGGAAAUUGCCCUGAUGUGGGGGAUAACCAUUGGAAACGAUGGCUAAUACCGCAUAAUGCCUACGGGCCAAAGAGGGGGACCUUCGGGCCUCUCGCGUCAGGAUAUGCCUAGGUGGGAUUAGCUAGUUGGUGAGGUAAGGGCUCACCAAGGCGACGAUCCCUAGCUGGUCUGAGAGGAUGAUCAGCCACACUGGAACUGAGACACGGUCCAGACUCCUACGGGAGGCAGCAGUGGGGAAUAUUGCACAAUGGGCGCAAGCCUGAUGCAGCCAUGCCGCGUGUGUGAAGAAGGCCUUCGGGUUGUAAAGCACUUUCAGUCGUGAGGAAGGUAGUGUAGUUAAUAGCUGCAUUAUUUGACGUUAGCGACAGAAGAAGCACCGGCUAACUCCGUGCCAGCAGCCGCGGUAAUACGGAGGGUGCGAGCGUUAAUCGGAAUUACUGGGCGUAAAGCGCAUGCAGGUGGUUUGUUAAGUCAGAUGUGAAAGCCCGGGGCUCAACCUCGGAAUUGCAUUUGAAACUGGCAGACUAGAGUACUGUAGAGGGGGGUAGAAUUUCAGGUGUAGCGGUGAAAUGCGUAGAGAUCUGAAGGAAUACCGGUGGCGAAGGCGGCCCCCUGGACAGAUACUGACACUCAGAUGCGAAAGCGUGGGGAGCAAACAGGAUUAGAUACCCUGGUAGUCCACGCCGUAAACGAUGUCUACUUGGAGGUUGUGGCCUUGAGCCGUGGCUUUCGGAGCUAACGCGUUAAGUAGACCGCCUGGGGAGUACGGUCGCAAGAUUAAAACUCAAAUGAAUUGACGGGGGCCCGCACAAGCGGUGGAGCAUGUGGUUUAAUUCGAUGCAACGCGAAGAACCUUACCUACUCUUGACAUCCAGAGAACUUUCCAGAGAUGGAUUGGUGCCUUCGGGAACUCUGAGACAGGUGCUGCAUGGCUGUCGUCAGCUCGUGUUGUGAAAUGUUGGGUUAAGUCCCGCAACGAGCGCAACCCUUAUCCUUGUUUGCCAGCGAGUAAUGUCGGGAACUCCAGGGAGACUGCCGGUGAUAAACCGGAAGAAGGUGGGG
rnacentral:rRNA from 1 species